UGAGCAAUCUGCCCUUCUCUUCGGAAUAAGCGUGGGAAACCGCGUCUAAUGCCGAAUACGACCUCCUUUCGCAUGAUCGGAGGUGGAAAGCUCCGGCGGAGAAGGAUGAGCUCGCGGCCUAUCAGCUAGUUGGUGUGGGUAACGGCCCACCAAGGCGACGACGGGUAGCCGGCCUGAGAGGGUGACCGGCCACACUGGGACUGAGACACGGCCCAGACUCCUACGGGAGGCAGCAGG
rnacentral:rRNA from 1 species